rnacentral:rRNA from 1 species
AAGCUCGUAGUUGAAUUUCGAAUGUGGCUGGGCGGUCCGCCUCACGGUGUGUACUGUCUGGCUGUGUUCUCUUUCUUGGUGAGCCGGCAUGCCCUUUACUGGGUGUGUUGGGGAACCAGGACGUUUACCUUGAGAAAAUUAGAGUGUUCAAAGCAGGCCACGCCCGAAUACAUUAGCAUGGCAUAAUAAAAUAGGACGUGCGGUUCUAUUUUGUUGGUUUCUAGAGCCGCAGUAAUGAUUAUAGGGAUAGUUGGG